UACCUGGGAGGCAGGGUUCCCAGAGAUGGGCCAUUAUGUAUAAUUUAAGCUUAUGGGCAUCAUCCCUUUGGUGAUUAACUUGUAGCAAAAACAAAACACAAGGGCUAAAGGAACAGAGCCAACAGAGUCAGAUUUGAUCUUCCUAAGCAGCACCAGUAACCACUGAGUGCAAGCCAGGUGCUCCAAAAGUAUUACAACAGGCCACAGUAACCAUACGAGUGUGAGAGUCGAUUUAUGCACCAACCAGACUGGAUCAUGGGGUAUGAAGGUGAGCAGUGUGCUCGCAGCAAGGGCGUCUCUCGUGACGCCGGGCGGAUCCCAGCCAGCCCCGCCACCGCGACGGUGAACCUCCGACACAGCGGCGCUCCUCCCAGCCCCUGUGCUUCCCACUUUCAGCACAGCACGUGAUGAAUGAUACGCGGUCACAGCACCACUAUAAAACAGGCUUUGUGAUUCUCUUCCCUUGUAAGUUACUGCAACUCGCUCUUUAACCAUGUACAGCAUCUAAACAUCCCUCCUCACCCAGAAGCAGGAACCAGCUGGCCUGAGGCCCAGUCCUGAACCCACAAGCAGGGUGACUUCAGCAGCUU